AAGAGACACUAUGAAAGGAAGCAGGCGAGCGUUUCUCCUUCUUUCCAUUCACUGCGCCUUCCUCGAGCAUGUCCUGCUUGGUUUUUCUUUCUCUCUUCAUCCCUACAGCUUCAUGCCCACAUGGCAUACACAACUGGAGUUACACAUGAUCCCGCCUUCUGUGUUCUGAUUGGUUCCCACACAUGAAUCAGUCCUCUGAUUGGAUGGUCCAGAAAACCUAAUGGAGAAAGAGGAUUAAUGGAUUCCACUGGACUUCUUUAGGAUGUGAAGUCGCAGGAAUAGGAGACGCUCCUUUUCAGCUGUCCAGAAGAUUUGACUCUUCCUGUUUUGGCUGAAGCCUUUUAAUCCAAGAUGCCUAAGAAGUCCAAGACCUUGUCAUCCCUGGUGGCAGGGAACGAAAUGCAUCCUUGCACAGUCAAGUCAAGUUUUUGUAUAGUGCUUUUAACAAUAAAAGCAAAUGUCACAAUGCAGCUUUACAGAAUUUGAGUGACUUAAAACAUGAGCUGAUUUUAUCCCCAAUGAGCAUGACUGUGGCAAGGGAGAAACUCCCUCAGACGACAUGGUGUCCCUUUUCCACCAAAGCAGUUCCAGGGCUGGUUCGGGGCCAGUGCUUAGUUUGGAACCGGGUUUUCUGUUUCCACUGACAAAACUGGCUCUGGGGCCAGAAAAACCGGUUCCAGGCUAGCACCAACUCUUUGUUGGGCCAGAGGAAAGAACAGCUUACGUCAGCGGGGGGUGGAGUUGUUAAGGCCAACAACAAUAGCAAGACUGCGAAAGGUCGCUAUUUUUAAGCGACAAGAAGCAGCAGCUGUACAAAUGUGAAGUCAUCCAUUAUUGUUGCUGCUGCUUCUGUGGUGUUGCUUCGAUGUUCGUGCCAAAGUUUAUGCAAACGCAGCGACGUAAUGACGUGCCUCCCCUUAGCACCCCGAGCUAUGGAAAAGCAAACUGGUUCUCAGCUGGCUCGCAAGUUGAAUGAGUUGUGAACCAGCCCUGCAACUGAUUUGGUGGAAAAGGGGUAAGAGAAACCUUGAGAGGAACCAGACUCAAAGGGAACCCAUCCUCAUUUGGGCAAUAGAUGACAUGACUGACAGUUUUAACAUGAAGUCAGUUGUGUUUGUACUGUAUACUGUACUGGGGUUCAACAUGGUUAUCUUUUCCGGCUGCAUGUUGAU